UACGUAGGGUGCGAGCGUUAAUCGGAAUUACUGGGCGUAAAGCGUGCGCAGGCGGUUUUGCAAGCCGGAUGUGAAAUCCCCGGGCUCAACCUGGGAAUGGCAUUCGGGACUGCAAGGCUGGAGUGCGGCAGAGGAGACUGGAAUUCCUGGUGUAGCAGUGAAAUGCGUAGAUAUCAGGAGGAAUACCGAUGGCGAAGGCAGCUCGCUGGGACGGUACUGACGCUGAGACGCGAAAGCGUGGGGAGCAAACAGG
rnacentral:rRNA from 1 species